CCCUUAGAUGUCCGGGGCUGCACGCGCGCUACACUGAAGGAAUCAGCGUGCUAAAACCAUUGUCGAAAGGCAUUGGUAAACCCAUUAAAAUCCUACGUGAUUGGGAUCGGGAAUUGCAAUUAUUUCCCUUGAACGAGGAAUUCCCAGUAAGUGUGGGUCAUAAGCUCGCGUUGAUUACGUCCCUGCCCUUUGUACCCACCGCCCGUCGCUGCCCGGGACUGAGCCGUUUCGAGAAAAGCGGGGACUGCUGCUGUCGGGGCUUUCGGGCCUUGGCUUCGGUGGAAACCGCUUUAAUCGCAGUGGCUUGAACCGGGCAAAAGUCGUAACA
rnacentral:rRNA from 1 species